AGCGUUCGGCACGUGCUUGCCAAUUUCUAUCAGAACAAGGCUAUGACGUUAUCAAUGUCCAAGGUGGCAUGGAUGCUUUAGAAUAAGAAAACUCUCUUUGGAGCCGAAAUUAAGAAAAGGUCCCAAAGGGAAUUUUUU
rnacentral:sRNA from 1 species